AGUGAACGCUGGCGGUAGGCCUAACACAUGCCAGUCGAACGGCAGCACAGUAAGAGCUUGCUCUUACGGGUGGCGAGUGGCGGACGGGUGAGGAAUACAUCGGAAUCUACUUUUUCGUGGGGGAUAACGUAGGGAAACUUACGCUAAUACCGCAUACGACCUACGGGUGAAAGCAGGGGAUCUUCGGACCUUGCGCGAUUGAAUGAGCCGAUGUCGGAUUAGCUAGUUGGCGGGGUAAAGGCCCACCAAGGCGACGAUCCGUAGCUGGUCUGAGAGGAUGAUCAGCCACACUGGAACUGAGACACGGUCCAGACUCCUACGGGAGGCAGCAGUGGGGAAUAUUGGACAAUGGGCGCAAGCCUGAUCCAGCCAUACCGCGUGGGUGAAGAAGGCCUUCGGGUUGUAAAGCCCUUUUGUUGGGAAGAAAAGCAGCAGGUUAAUACCCCGCUGUUCUGACGGUACCCAAAGAAUAAGCACCGGCUAACUUCGUG
rnacentral:rRNA from 1 species